UGGGACUAGGCUGAGCUUCCCUCUCCCCA
rnacentral:piRNA from 1 species